GCUCAUUAGCAGACCUCACCAACAGCAGAUGACACUUCAGCUAACCUGAGAGUCAGUCUGGAGGCAGUGCAGGAGCCAUCAGGACCACGCCAUGCACUGAGUAAUUUCCCUUUCAGAAAGCUUUAACAACAGCCCUCUGCCUCUGGAUUCUGCCCACUGUUGCCAAGCAUGGAGCACCUCGAAGGAGGCCAGGAGAGGAGUAAGAUCUGCUCACCAGGCGUGCAAGAAAGGAGCAGAGUUGAGGCCUCUGCCAUCUACUGCUAGCAGUCCCUGAAGAAUUAACUCGACGAGUCCAUCCUCUGUCCAUGCAACUGUUCCCAUAGUUUCAAACAAGCAGUCUUACGUGAGUGCAAAAAUUUGACUCCAAAUUUUGUUUUUAUUAAUAUUAUUCAUUAUUUGAGGAAUUUUUGUGUGUUACCACUUGAUGAUAGACAGAAAAACACGGGCAAGUAAAAUCAUUUAAUGUUCCUAUAGUGCUUUUUGCUACACCUCAUUUGGUUGCAGGGAUUUCACAUGGAUGAGAAGAGGAUGCACAGUAUGUGUAAGUCCUGAGAGGGGCUGGGAAGGAGGCUAUCUUAGAGGGUUGCUGCUCAUCCUGUUGUCUUCAGCACUGCAGUGCUGCAGUCAGGGCUGUGUGUGGAAGUCAGACCGUGCCCUGGCCCCUCAGCAGCCCGGGGCUGUGCACAGUCUCUGUGGAGGAGCGAAAACCAGCUGGAGCGACCUGGUACCCUGGAAGAGAAGAUCCAGGAGUAUGUUUCCAGCUGGAUGGCAGGUACAGAGGAGUACUGAGCUCAAAUGCUGCUUUUUCAGUGUUUUGUUAGGACAACAUGCACUCACCCCGUGUCUCUGA
rnacentral:lncRNA from 1 species